CCCUUAGAUGUUCUGGGCUGCACGCGCGCUACACUGAUGCGUUCAACGAGUGUAUCACCUUGCCCAAUAGGGUAGGGUAAUCUUUUGAACACGCAUCGUGAUGGGGAUAGAUUAUUGCAAUUAUUAAUCUUCAACGAGGAAUUCCUAGUAAUGAUGAAUCAUCAGUUCGUCGUGAUUACGUCCCUGCCCUUUGUACACACCGCCCGUCGCACCUACCGAUUGAAUGGUCCGGUGAAAUCUUCGGAUCUGAGAGAUGUCUGAUUAAUUUCGGACGCCUUUUGGAAAAGUUGUUUAAACCUUACCAUUUAGAGGAAGGUGAANUCGUAACA
rnacentral:rRNA from 1 species